rnacentral:rRNA from 1 species
AGAAUCUUUCGCAAUGCCCGAAAGGGUGACGAAGCGACGCCGCGUGUGGGAAGAAGGCCUUCGGGUUGUAAACCACUGUCGGGAGUUAGGAAAUGUAAGGGUGUUAAUAGUAUCCUUACUUGACUAAGGCUCCGGAGGAAGCCACGGCUAACUCUGUGCCAGCAGCCGCGGUAAUACAGAGGCGGCAAGCGUUGUUCGGAAUUAUUGGGCGUAAAGAGCACGUAGGCGGCCUUGUAAGUCAGUUGUGAAAGCCUUCUGCUUAACGGAAGAACAGCAGCUGAUACUGCAAGGCUAGAGUGCGGAAGGGGAGAGUGAAACUUCUGGUGGAGCGGUGAAAUGCGUAGAUAUCAGAAGGAACACCGGCGGCGAAGGCGACUCUCUGGUCCGUAACUGACGCUGAGUGUGCGAAAGCUAGGGGAGCAAACGGGAUUAGAUACCCCGGUAGUCCUAGCCGUAAACGAUGGGCACUAAGUAGAGGGGUUUUGAUUAUCUCUCUGCCGGAGCUAACGCAUUAAGUGCCCCGCCUGGGGAGUACGGCCGCAAGGCUAAAACUCAAAAGAAUUGACGGGGGCUCGCACAAGCGGUGGAGCAUGUGGCUUAAUUCGAUGCAACGCGAAGAACCUUACCSGGGKUUKACAUGGUAGAAGUAGGAGCCUGAAAGGGUGACGAACGGUAUCCAGUCCGUGACUAUCACAGGUGUUGCAUGGCUG